rnacentral:snRNA from 10 species
CUACUUACCUGGCAGAGGAGAUACCUUGAUCAUGAAGGUGGUUUCCCGGGGCAAGGUUUACCCAUUGCUUCCGGAUAUGCUGACCCCUGCAAUUUCCCCAAAUGUGGGAAACUUGACUGCUAAAAA